rnacentral:siRNA from 1 species
CUAUACAACAAUCAUCAUAAC